rnacentral:rRNA from 1 species
UACGGGGGGAGCAAGCGUUGUUCGUAUUUACUGGGCGUAAAGGGCGCGUAGGCGGUCAGCACAAGUCAGUUGUGAAAUCUCCGGGCUUAACCCGGAAAGGUCAACUGAUACUGUGCGACUAGAGUGCGGAAGGGGCAACUGGAAUUCUCGGUGUAGCGGUGAAAUGCGUAGAUAUCGAGAGGAACACCUGCGGCGAAGGCGGGUUGCUGGGCCGACACUGACGCUGAUGCGCGAAAGCCAGGGGAGCGAACGGG